rnacentral:rRNA from 1 species
GACGAAUGCUGGCUGCGUGCUUAACACAUGCAAGUCGAACGGUGAAAGGGAGCUUGCUCCCUGGAUCAGUGGCGAACGGGUGAGUAACACGUGGGCAACCUGCCCCUCACUCUGGGAUAACUCCGGGAAACCGGGGCUAAUACCGGAUACGACCUGGUGCGACAUCGCACCGGGUGGAAAGAACUUCGGUGAGGGAGGGGCCCGCGGCCUAUCGGCUUGUUGGUGGGGUAACGGCCCACCAAGGCGACGACGGGUAGCCGGCCUGAGAGGGCGACCGGCCACACUGGGACUGAGACACGGCCCAGACUCCUACGGGAGGCAGCAGUGGGGAAUAUUGCGCAAUGGGCGAAAGCCUGACGCAGCGACGCAGCGUGAGGGACGAAGGCCUUCGGGUUGUAAACCUCUUUCAGCGGGGACGAAGCGAAAGUGACGGUACCCGCAGAAGAAGCACCGGCUAACUACGUGCCAGCAGCCGCCGUAAGAC